CCUACGGGAGGCUGCAGUGGGGGAUAUUGCACAAUGGGGGGAACCCUGAUGCAGCGACGCCGCGUGGGUGAAGGAGCGUUUCGGCGCGUAAAGCCCUAUCGGCAGGGAAGAAGCUGACGGUAACUGACCUAGAAGCCCCGGCCAAAUACCGGCCAGAAGCCGCGGUAAUACGUAGGGGGCAAGCGUUUUCCGGGUUUACUGGGUGGAAAGGGGGCGCAGACGGCAAUGCAAGCCAGGAGUGAAAGCCCGGGGCCCAACCCCGGGACUGCUGUUGGAACUGCAUGGCUGGAGUACAGGAGGGGCAGGCGGAAUUCCUAGUGUAGCGGUGAAAUGCGUAGAUAUUAGGAGGAACACCGGUGGCGAAGGCGGCCUGCUGGACUGUGACUGACGUUGAGGCCCGAAGGCGUGGGGAGCAAACAGGAUUAGAUACCCCAGUAGUC
rnacentral:rRNA from 1 species